rnacentral:rRNA from 1 species
UACAGAGACUGCAAGCGUUAUUCGGAUUCACUGGGCGUAAAGGGUGCGCAGGCGGCCGGGUGUGUCAGAUGUGAAAUCCCGAGGCUUAACCUCGGAACUGCGUCUGAAACUACUCGGCUAGAGUAUUGGAGAGGGUAACGGAAUUCCCAGUGUAGAGGUGAAAUUCGUAGAUAUUGGGAAGAACACCAGUGGCGAAGGCGGCUCUCUGGUCCGGUACUGACACUUUAGUGCGAAAGCGUGGGGAGCAAACAGGAUUAGAUACCCUAGUAGU